rnacentral:rRNA from 1 species
UACGUAGGGGGGCUAGCGUUGUCCGGAAUCAUUGGGCGUAAAGCGCGUGUAGGCGGCCCGGUAAGUCCGCUGUGAAAGUCGGGGGGCUCAACCCUCGAAUGCCGGUGGAUACUGUCGGGCUCGAGUGCGGAAGAGGCGAGUGGAAUUCCUGGUGUAGCGGUGAAAUGCGCAGAUAUCAGGAGGAACACCGAUUGCGAAGGCAGCUCGCUGGGACGUUACUGACGCUGGAGGAGCGAAAGCAUGGGGAGCGAACAGG